UCUUCCAUCUGAAGUCCUAUGGCUGAAUGUUUGACUGCUUUGUAAAUACCAGACCAAAGUGAAUACCUUAAACGCACCAAAGUAGGAAUUUCUUCCCGGGUAAGGCCAAUCAAAAAACUAAUAAGAGAACUGUAAAUGCCUUAAUGUCUGUGACUAGGAUCAACUCUUGCAGCUUCAAUAACCAUUGAUUCAUUCCCGUCAACGACGCUGCAUCUCAUGAAUCCCACCAUUUUCGAUCCUUUCUCAGCAACCAUAGUUAUUCUAUUGGGUUCCGCGAGCCAUUUCUUGAACUUGUAUGGGGACGAAGUCGAAUCGAUCUGUUUUCCAUCCUCUUAGACAGCUUUGAUAUCUCGUCGAAAUCACCAGCAUUUGCAAGUCGAAGAGCCAUUUUUCUCUCUUAAUUUCCCAAGGUCGAUUGGCCAGUAUGCCAACUCAUGCCUACCUAUAAACAGAAAGAGAGAGGAGAGAAAGUCGACCCACGUUACUCAGAAUGAAUAAGAGUCAAUUAGAGUCGAUCAAUCAAUACAAGUUAGAGUGGUUAAAGAAAAGAGGGAGUUGAAUUUGCUAUAGGUAGAAUUGUAUCAGAGAACAAAGAUAGAAGAUUACAUAUGGACAGAUCGAGAGUUUUGGGCGCCUUUCGCUGAGUGUGCUACGCUCUGCAGCCAGCUACAGCCAGCCACCAACCUAUUCGGUGGGGCCCCAACUCUUCCCUUCAAGACAUUCUUCUCCUGGUUGUCAGGCUUCUAUUACCACAAGCUCCAUGAUCUCCAAGCUUCAGGAGGACAGGUUUCAGGCAAAACAGAAAGAUGACGAUUCUUUUGGAUGGUCGCCCUUGAGUUUCUUAGCGCACGAACGCAGACGUGCGGCUGUCGCUUCUCUCUGCUUGAAGGAUAACGUUUGCGAGCUCAAGUGACAAAACAGUUCCUGUGACGUAAUACUUUUACCUUGGCAUGUAAACAAUCAGAAUGCGAUUACGCAACAAAAUUAAGGGUCAAUCUCCUCACGUGCGACCUUGCUAUGUUUGACUUCAUGGAAACUGUCAUUAAAUAACACGCAUCAAUCGAUCCAAAUUACUGCACGAUAUCUGGAUGGAUUUUAGACAUGGCAUGACUGGCCACGCAAGAACUUCAAAGAUGCUGGAUAGAAUUUAAACAUAAAGUCAACGAAGUGUAAUAAUAGAAGCGUAGUUUCCUCCUCACCGUGAUCAACACAUAAUCCAAAUAACUGAAGUUUGAUGUUGGGAGCGUAAAGGCAACCCAAAUUUGACUUUUCUUUACUCUUAAAGUCACACUUUACCUUAGUAGUGGAAGCCUUCUUUUAUACACGAUUAAAAAUUAAAUCAGAGCUGAUGUGGUCGUGUUAUAAGAAAUAUUUUAUCCUUGAUGCAUCUGGAUGUAAAACAUUGAUCAUGAUAUUAUGUAUCCAACUCUCUAUUAUUGGGAGAUGUGACUUCAAAUUUUGUGUCAAUCUCUUACUUCCGGUUUUUUUAAUAAGCCCUUAUAGUAUCCGGCCGCAUAUCACUCUAUGUCAGUCAAUGUAUGACGGCUGACUUUGUACGGUUGAGAAUAAUAACAAGUACUCGUGGCAUGAAAUGAGAGCCCAUAUACAGCAUAGUAAAGUACGGUAGUUCUUAUUAAUUCUCCAAGCAUUAUUUUAUACACGAUUAGUAAAUUAAAUCAGUGAUGAUGCGGUCGUGUCACGAGGAAAUAUUUUAUACUUUAUACUUAAGUACUAAAAAUACUUAUAUUUUAUAUUAAAUUCUGAGUCCCCAUGAGGAAUCGAACCUCAGACCUUCGGAUUCCGCGCUUCGAUGCAAUACCGCCGAGCCACAGAGACUCGUUGGUGAGCGAGGCGUAUUACGAAGUUCCUAGUGACACGCGUCCUACAUACUGCUAGGAUCAGCGAUGUCGAUAGCUUCAUGUUUGUAAAUCGAGUAAGAAAGAUGGUAUGGUACUGACUUUUUUAUCACUAAAAAGGUAGA